rnacentral:rRNA from 1 species
UACGUAGGGGGCAAGCGUUGUCCGGAUUUAUUGGGCGUAAAGAGCGUGUAGGCGGUUUGGUAGGUCCGCUGUGAAAACUCGAGGCUCAACCUCGAGACGCCGGUGGAAACCAUCAGACUAGAGUCCGGAAGAGGAGAGUGGAAUUCCUGGUGUAGCGGUGAAAUGCGUAGAUAUCAGGAGGAACACCUGUGGCGAAAGCGGCUCACUGGACCAUAACUGACGCUGAUGCACGAAAGCUAGGGGAGCAAACAGG